rnacentral:rRNA from 1 species
AACCUGCCCAAGAGAUCGGGAUAACACCUGGAAACAGAUGCUAAUACCGGAUAACAACAGAUGAUGCCUAUCGACUGUUUAAAAGAUGGUUCUGCUAUCACUCUUGGAUGGACCUGCGGUGCAUUAGCUAGUUGGUAGGGUAACGGCCUACCAAGGCGAUGAUGCAUAGCCGAGUUGAGAGACUGAUCGGCCACAUUGGGACUGAGACACGGCCCAAACUCCUACGGGAGGCAGCAGUC